CCCCAUCUGGCCCUGACGAGGUGGGUGUGUGAGGUGGCACCUAGAAACAAGAAGAAAGGCCUGCUGCCACUUGUAUGGUUUCCUGAGGGUUGCCUCAUGUUUUUUGGCUCUCCUGCAGUUACAAAGGGGCACCUGAAGCCAGAUGAGGGCCGGGAAAGGCCUGACACUGUGCACCCCCUUGAACAUAAGGAUGACGGCUAGAACAACCCCCUUGCCUGGAUUCUUGGGCACCACACAGCAUCCAAGCAUGUGUUUGUGCUUUGGAUCCUUUACAGGAGGCCCAGAAAUGUGACUGUCUUGCACCUGAUCUAAAGCUUCCCCAGCUGAGUCUGAAAGCGGUCAAAGUUUGGAACAGGUUGCCCAGAUGUGCUGUGGAAUCUGACUCCCUGGAGAUAUUUAAAAUUCAAAUGGACAAGUACCUGAAGAAACUGAUUGAAGAGGAACUGAUGUGAAUUAGGGACAGGAGUAGAUGAUCUCCAGAGGUCCCUUCUAGCCUAUAAUAUUCUGCGAUUCUUAGAAUCACAGAAUGCAACAGGAUAACAUUUAUGAACAUUUCUGAAUAAUUCUAAAAAGAUGUUACCUAAAAUGAGUAAGGGAAAUUCAUCACAACUGCUUAACCCCUGGGUCUGUUCUAAAAUGUACAGGUCCAGUUUUCAGAAAUGUUUUGUUGUUCUUUCUUGUAGGUAUUAAAGCAUGUAUAUGGUCGUAUGGAUUCACUGAGACAAUUCUAAAGAUGAGAAUGGAGGCCCUGGCAUGUGAGUCAGGCUAGUUUAUUCAGUGCAGAUUUUUCUGCUAGAGUAAUCAGAACUACCUUAGUAGUUAGAGUUACAAAUGAUUGCACUGAUUAUUGAUUAAAUGUGGAAGAGCAUAAUUACUUCACAGAACAUGAUUUAUUUGAUAUUAGUGGUUGAAAACCACUACAGAUCUGCAGGGGGAUUAAAAAGGAUAUAUUCAAUAUACAUGGCAUGUGAUUUCUGGGCCAAUUAACACUGAGCGUUUUUGUGGGACGGAAGCUAUACACACACACAAUUGUAAAUAAAGUCAUUUGUUUUCAUUCCAUUGUACAUAUUUAUAAUGAAGAUGUUAAAAACAUGAAGGAAAUAAAAAGGUGUAGAAGCAGGGGCAGGAGAUCAUCUGGAAGGAUGGAGGCACUGUCUAAGUAUUCAUAGGGAUAGGAUUAGGAAGGCCAAAGCCCACUUGGAGUUGAACCUAGCAAGGGAUAUAGAAGGGUGACGUGAAAGGUGUACUACAGGUUUAUCAGAAGCAGAGGGAAUAUCAGGGAAAUGUGAGCCCACUGCUGAAUGGAUCAGGGGACAGAGUGACAGAACAUAUAAAAAAAAAAGGCUGAGGUACUCAAUGUCUUCUCUGCCUUAGUCCUGCCUAGUGGAGUUUCAGGUCUUGAGACCAGUGGAAAAAUAUGGGAUAAGGAGGAUAUGCCCUCAAUGGAGGAAGAUCAAGUUAGAGAAUAUCCAAACAAAUUGGGCAUACAUAAAUUAAUGGGAUGCACUCACUGGGGUUGAGUGAAGUGGUUGAUCUCACUGAGAAGCCAUUCUAGACUGUUUUUGAAAGAUCAUGGUGAGAUAUUUCAGAGGGCUAGAAGAAAUCAAAUAUCAUUCUAUGUGAUAAGUGAUGGAUAACCUGAUAAAAGCAGCUGGAUAAACUGAAAUACAAAUGUUAAAUAUUUUUAGGGUUAAAUUAAGAGAUAUGGUAUCACUUUCUUUAAGUCAUGCGUUGCGUCCUCAUUCUUGGACUCUUAAACUUAAAUGUACAUUAUCUUUCCAAAAGGUCUCAUUUUCUGUUAGGUUUGCUCAAAUUACAAUUCUAAUUAUGAUACCUGCUAAUUGAAGGUAAUUCAUUACAGUUGACACUGUAUGAAUGUUGAUGUGCAUUUCCUGCCUCAUAUUUGGUAUCUGUGACAAGGAAUGUGCAUGUAUGCAUAUAUAUAUAUGGCACAUACCAAACUUUGCCUUUUAAAAUUGUGUAUUUGAUUGUAAAUUUGUUUGUUGUAUGUAUGUAUGAUCAAAAAAGGGAAUGACACACACAACACAUUUUCUAGCAAUUUCUGUAUUAGCUAGGAUUGUAAGAAAUUUCUUGGCAGUCAACAAGUCAAUUUGCACUUUGCUUCAUGAUACAAAAUAUAAGGAUAACUAUGUAAAUAUGUAUGGUUUCCUAUAAAUCAAGCUGCUUUGGAAUUAAGUGGAAGGAAUAUUACUGCAUUGAUUACCAAGUAUAUGUUGUGUGGCUACUGUAAACUAUAUAAAUACUUAGAAAACUGUUCUGAUUUGCACCUGGUUGGCUUUCCAAUCUGAAAUCUGUCUUAAUCAGGUGCUUUGAUUGUUAUAUGACUAUUAUUUAUUACCUUCUGUUUGUGGUCUAUCACCUUCAGGAAUGCUUGAAGUCUCUCCAUUGUAUUUCAGUAUGCAAGAAAACAAGUGUAAGCACCAUGAGUAGCAUAUAUUUGAUCUGAGUAGAUACGUUGAGAAUAUUGUGUUUGCACUCAGUAUUUGCAAGCUUCAGCAACAGUUAUACCACUGAGUACUUUGGGAGUCAGGGGGAGUCUUCAGAUGAAAAUCUCCCAAAAUCACAAGAUUCUCAGUGAAGAUAUCUUUUAAAACAACUGAAAACUUCUCUUUUAAAUCCGCGUUUCUUGUAUCAUUGUUAGCGGUACUGGGAAUCACCAUAUGCAGUUGCAUUUCAGAUGACCUUAGAGAGUAUGUUGUGAAAGGUUUAAUUCCUUCUGCCUUUGAGCAUAUUUUAGUGUAUAUUCUAAAAUAGCUUUCAGCUCUAGAUAUCUUUGACAAUCUCUUUCCAUACAUGAAACUACAAAUAGCUUCAACAUUUAUUCCACACACUACAUAACUACAGUAGAAGAAAUCCUAGUUAUUUAAAACAACUUAACAUUAAUAUUGAAUUUUAUUUAGGUGAAUUAAGAGAAACUAUGAGACUAGGUGAUUAAAGGAAAAAAGCAUAGGCUUUAAUGCAUACUGUAGUGUCCCCAGGUAGGGAGACUUUCAGGAGCUGACAGUUAAGUGUGCGAAGUUGGAAGUAACGUUAUUUUGGAAUGUCAGAUUCAGGUGUUUUUGGACAGCAUCAGUCUAAACAGAUCAAGCUGUUUAUGAUCAUAACUGAACUUUCUAGUGUUUUUUUAAAGUGCAAUUUUUUUUUUUUGCAGAUGUCACUGUUGUGAAGAUACUUGUUUUAGAAACAAAUUAUGCAAAUAACAACUUACCUUUAAUCCACAAUGAGUGUGACUUGAAAUAAAUUUUGGAAAGAUUCUUGAUAAAAUUGUUUCUUUUGUGAACUGUGAGAACCUGAUUCUACUAUAAACAAACAAGCAAAAAAUAAACUGAAUUGACUUCAAAACUUAAAGAUAAAGCAUUAUUUGAAGUAUGA